rnacentral:snoRNA from 1 species
CCAAAUGGAUACUCUGGAGGUCACUCUCCAGGCUCUGUCCAAGUUGUAUCCAGAUGAUAGGACUGCUUCAUGAGGUACAGUCCCUUUCCACAAUGUUGGAAAAGAGGCUGGGCCUUACAUCUGGGCCUGCAUAGUCCCAUGACUUUCAGAGUCCUGUGGGCAAUAACUGAGGAGACAAACCAUGCAGGAAACAAUG